rnacentral:lncRNA from 1 species
GUUAAGAAAGAAUUUGGUGCUACAAUCAUAACACGAGGCAGGUGCCCUUUUGGUCGAGUGCCUGGAGUGGCAAAUAAAUACUGAGGAUAAUCAAUCAGAUUCCCUGUCCCAAUUCAGAUUAGAUUCAGCAUGAGCCAUCAUCUUGUACGAGUGCUAAACAUCAUACGGGACCAAAAAAGAGCAGAGACAAAGAAUCAUCCGCUGGCUGCAUGUUGACUUGAUCAAUCUUCUCAUUAGCUGCACGACGUGAUUCACUUCGUCGCCGUGACCCAUCCGAGAUAGCCCUUUGUGCCGUUGCGGCCUCUCAGCCGCCGCGCCCGCCUUCGCAGUGGCUGACGUCGUCUAGGCCGGCUUCGCCCCGCCGUGCGCGCGUCCGCUCUAACAGGUGCACUUCAACCUGCCGCGCCAGCUUGCGCCAUGGUCUCGCGUCCGAGCCGCCGUUUGUUUUUGCCUUGCUAUACCC